rnacentral:rRNA from 1 species
AUUGAACGCUGGCGGAAUGCUUUACACAUGCAAGUCGAACGGCAGCAUAGGUGCUUGCACCUGAUGGCGAGUGGCGAACGGGUGAGUAAUAUAUCGGAACGUGCCCAGUCGUGGGGGAUAACGUAGCGAAAGUUACGCUAAUACCGCAUACGAUCUAAGGAUGAAAGCGGGGGACCGUAAGGCCUCGCGCGAUUGGAGCGGCCGAUGUCAGAUUAGGUAGUUGGUGGGGUAAAGGCUCACCAAGCCGACGAUCUGUAGCUGGUCUGAGAGGACGACCAGCCACACUGGGACUGAGACACGGCCCAGACUCCUACGGGAGGCAGCAGUGGGGAAUUUUGGACAAUGGGCGCAAGCCUGAUCCAGCCAUUCCGCGUGCAGGACGAAGGCCUUCGGGUUGUAAACUGCUUUUGUACGGAGCGAAAAGCCUUGGGUUAAUACCUCGGGGUCAUGACGGUACCGUAAGAAUAAGCACCGGCUAACUACGUG